GGCCCAAUAGCACAGUUGGUUAGUGCACCUGCUUAUAGUCCCUUUUCAUCCAUAUUCUAAGCAGGAGACCCUCGUUCGAAUCGGGGUUUGGGUCA